GCGCUGCCGGCGCUGACGUCACCGCAGCCCCGCGCCCGCCGCCAUUGGAGCGGGAGGCUCCGGCUCCGACCCUUGCUGUGGCCCCAGCGCGGCGGGCAGGCCCGGGCGGGCAUGUGAAGGGUCGGGGCCCACAGGGCGAGCCCAGCCGCGGGUACCGGCGCCGCCCGAACGCCCCCCGGGCCCUCUGUAAGAGACGCCAGCGGCCCCUUUCCCUCCCUCGGCCCCUGAGGGGGAGGCGCCGCCAGGCCCCGCCGCGCCCGCCCGGCCUCGCUGCCGCGCCACGGCGGACCCUACAUGAAUUAUGUCUGCCACAAGCGUUGACCCUCAGAGACCGAAAGGACAGGAUAAUAAGGUACAAAAUGGUUCGUUACAUCAGAAGGAUACAGUUCAUGACAACGAUUUUGAACCUUACCUUUCUGGGCAGUCAAAUCAGAACAGUAGCUAUCCAUCAAUGACUGAUCCUUAUCUAUCCAGUUAUUAUCCACCAUCUAUUGGCUUCCCCUAUUCUCUCAGUGAAGCACCGUGGUCUACAGGAGGAGAUCCUCCUAUCCCGUAUCUCACCACCUAUGGACAGCUCAGUAACGGAGAUCAUCAUUUUAUGCAUGAUGCUGUUUUUGGACAGCCUGGCGGUCUGGGAAAUAAUAUCUAUCAACACCGGUUUAACUUUUUCCCUGAAAAUCCUGCCUUCUCAGCUUGGGGAACAAGCGGAUCCCAAGGACAGCAGACUCAAAGUUCAGCAUAUGGGAGCAGUUACAGCUACCCACCUAGUUCCCUGGGUGGCACCAUUGUGGAUGGACAGACAGGAUUUCAUAAUGAUACAUUAAAUAAAGCUCCUGGAAUGAACAGUAUUGAACAGGGAAUGGUUGGACUUAAGAUUGGUGGAGAUGUUACAACUUCUGCGGUGAAAACAGUAGGUUCUGUGGUCAACAGUGCUGGGAUGACGGGUGCCCUCUCUGGUAACGGUGGAUCUAAUGUAAACUUGUCAGUAUCUAAACCAACCUCCUGGGCUGCUAUAGCUAGCAAGCCUGCGAAACCGCAGCCUAAAAUGAAAACAAAAAGUGGACCUGUAAUUGGAGGAGCAUUACCUCCUCCACCUAUAAAGCAUAAUAUGGACAUAGGUACUUGGGACAACAAGGGUCCUGUGGCAAAAGUUCCUGCCCCCCAACAGAUACCUUCUCCUCAGUCUGUUCCACAGCCACAGCAACAAAUUGUUCAGCCUGUUCCAACUCAGCCUCCUCCAUUGACUCAGCCGCAGUAUCAGACCCCUCAGCAGCCACCCCAAAAUCGCUGGGUAGCUCCUCGCAACAGAAAUGCAGCUUUUGGCCAAAGUGGAGGAACUGGUAAUGACAGCAACUCAGCUGGCAGUACCCAGCCUAACCCUCUUCCAAGUGGCGAAUCCCAUCCUGUCCUUGAAAAACUGAAAGCUGCUCACAGCUAUAACCCUAAAGAUUUUGAAUGGAACCUUAAAAAUGGACGUGUGUUCAUAAUAAAGAGCUAUUCUGAGGAUGAUAUUCAUCGUUCCAUUAAGUAUUCUAUUUGGUGUAGUACGGAACAUGGCAACAAACGCCUGGACAGUGCUUUUCGGUCCAUGAACAACAAGGGUCCAGUCUACCUGCUAUUCAGUGUCAAUGGCAGUGGGCACUUCUGUGGAGUAGCAGAGAUGAAAUCACCUGUGGACUAUGGCACCAGUGCGGGUGUCUGGUCUCAGGACAAGUGGAAGGGGAAAUUUGAUGUCAAGUGGAUCUUUGUGAAGGAUGUGCCCAACAACCAGCUCCGACACAUCAGGCUGGAGAACAAUGACAACAAACCCGUUACAAACUCCCGUGAUACACAGGAGGUGCCCUUAGAAAAAGCAAAACAAGUGCUUAAAAUUAUUGCUACUUACAAGCACACGACCUCCAUCUUCGAUGACUUUUCUCAUUAUGAAAAGCGCCAAGAAGAGGAGGAGGUGGUACGGAAGAAGAUGAAUGCUUUCAUCCCACUGACCUUAACAACUGAAGUUUAGCUGGAAAGUUGACAGCUACUCUGUAACUGAGAUGAAGGGUACAGAAGUUUCACGUGGAUGAGUCUCUUCAAAAUGGAAGCUUCUGCAGGUUUUGUUUUCCUGUGUCUGAAGACUAGACAUAUUAAUGUCACAAAGAAGUAUCGACAGGAGCUCAUCUCUGAGGUAUCGGAAUCCUUCUAGGGGAGAGACUGUGAAGACCUUAAGGUCUUCAGAACCAAAAUGAGCAAAGCUUUUUUAGUUGCUUACAGAACUGCUUGUUCUUGCUUGCAGGAGUGCUAAAUAGCAGUAAGGAAGAGAAUGAGAAUUAAAGCUUCUAAAAAGCAGCCAUGCUCAAGAGCACAAAGAAUUUAUUGCAUCAGUUUCCUCCGCAUCAGUUUAUAUCAAACACUUCUUAAAAGGAAGACUCAGAUUAGGCCCAGAGAGAGAAAGCAAGCAGCAAGGAACGUCAGAAUCGAAACAAACAAUAAGAAUAAACAUAUACAGUUUGAUAUAUAUGCUAGAACUGAUACUAAAUUCGACUAUGAGAAACGAAAUUUAAGUAUACUGGUGCUUUAUCCUGGCAUCAGGACAAACUAAAGCUUUCAGCUCCAAUGUAUCUUCUCGUGCAGGGGAAAUUAAGUUGUUGCAUCUUUAAGUACAUUGUAGUUUAUUUUUGCCCAGAUGGAUCUGCAUUAAUUUGUAUCUUUUUUUUCUAUGUAAAAUUCUGUAGAAAUCAUGAAUAAAGGUGUGUCUGGUUUUAUUUUUUUAAGUUGGUAAACAGUUAUGUUAACCUAAUGUCAACCUAUCCAUGAGCAUACUCAAGUGUCAAUGCUUCCCAAAGAGUUCAUUUUGGCACAAAUUAUGUUCCUAGCCAGGUAUAGAGAUUAUGGAGAAUACAUGACAAAUCUUCCUUUAUCCUCCUCCCAACCCCUUUUUCUCAUGGUGGAAAUAGGAAACUAUGCCUUGAUUUAUCCUUUUUUUAUUUUUUUCUUUUUGUCAUUUAAAAAACUUUUAAGAUACUGCACUUCAGAGUUUUAAAAUGAAACCCCUAAAUUUUGGAUCACUCUGUGCAGCUGCUCUGCCUCUUUCUUGAUCUGUACAAUUACACUUUUAAAACUGCUAAUGCGCCAUGUUUUUUUCUGUCUAGUAGAGAAUCAAAUUGUCAGUGAAAUUGUUUCUCUGGAAACCCUUUCCCUUUCACAUUCUGUUAACCAGUGCUUCAGUGUGCAUUUGUUAUACCAUAUCCUGCCGGGAGUGAGCGAGGUGCUUUCUCUCAGCCAUGAUUCUGCUUUACAGUUUUUGUAGCUUAAUUAAAUAAUAAUGUGAUGCUAUCAACAUUGCAGGGGUUUUGGACAAUGUGUUUAAACCUGUUUCAGCUUUCAGGUGUUAUUAGUUAAUUGCAGAUCAUUUUUAAUCCUUCCCUUCAUUACUCCCUCCCACCCCCCAAAUCCUUAUGCCAUUUAAAGUUUUUAUACCAAUAAUGCUGAGCUUUAACGUAGGAACUAAUAGUACGGAUAAUAUGAUGGAUUAUGCCUCAGAUGUUUAAAAUUGACAGUGUGUAUGUCUAAUUUUUUUCUGUUGGAUGAGUAAAAAAACCUGUUUUAAGAAACUGAAUUUGCUGUCAUGUUUUUGUGGAGUGAGGGGACCGUCGGAGAAUCUGUCACCAACUGGAGUUCCAAUUAAGCAUGGAAAUGGUGCUCAUGUCCGCUGCUCUAGCACACUGAAUCUGCACGUGUUUAUUGUAGAGGAUCUUUUACUAUAUUAGAAAGCAAGUAUCUUCUGAAUACUAUUUACUCCAAAAGGACCUCCAAUUUAAAUAAAGUUUAAUCUGUAUCAUUUAGACUUGUAUUUAGAACGUAUAACUCUGUCUCUGGACUGUUACUGCCUGUAAGGGGUAAUGGACAGCAUCAGAUUAACUUUUUCCUCUAGGAGAAUACAAGCCUUAAUAAACAAUACAUA